UCUCAGGGUAUCUGAUUUGUCUUUCUGCAGUGUACGUUGACCUGAAUAAGUGGCCAUAGGUCCCUCAGGGAAGGACUGAGAAAAUCAUCACAAUACAUGUUUGCCAUGAUGUCCUUCCUGCUAGCAAGCCAGACACCUCUUCACAAAAAUACCGUACUGGGAAAAUGAGGCCUUCAAACUUCCGAUGCUACAGAAGAGCCAACAAAAAGCAUGAGCAGCGAAGACUUGGUAUCAUAUUUGAGAAAGAAUAGGUCCACUAUUUCUUUUCUCCCCUCCAACUCCUGACAAGUCCUUCCAAAAAGAACCACACAACUAAUGCCUAGGAAGAGACAAAGCCAAUCAUGAUGCCAUGAUUAUGACAUUUUCCAAUAUAUAAGGGAUGAGACUAAUAGGACCAACACUUAGAUCCAGAGGCUUGCCUGCACACAAGCGCUAGUAGUAUUCUAUCAUAUCUUGUC